AUUGAACGCUGGUGGCAGGCCUAACACAUGCAAGUCGAGCGGCAGCGGGAAAGUAGCUUGCUACUUUUGCCGGCGAGCGGCGGACUGGUGAGUAAUGCCUGGGAAAUUGCCCAGUCGAGGGGGAUAACAGUUGGAAACGAUUGCUAAUACCGCAUACGCCCUACGGGGGAAAGCAGGGGACCUUCGGGCCUUGCGCGAUUGGAUAUGCCCAGGUGGGAUUAGCUAGUUGGUGAGGUAAUGGCUCACCAAGGCGACGAUCCCUAGCUGGUCUGAGAGGAUGAUCAGCCACACUGGAACUGAGACACGGUCCAGACUCCUACGGGAGGCAGCAGUGGGGAAUAUUGCACAAUGGGGGAAACCCUGAUGCAGCCAUGCCGCGUGUGUGAAGAAGGCCUUCGGGUUGUAAAGCACUUUCAGCGAGGAGGAAAGGUUGAUGCCUAAUACGUAUCAACUGUGACGUUACUCGCAGAAGAAGCACCGGCUAACUCCGUGCCAGCCGCCGCGGUAAUAC
rnacentral:rRNA from 1 species